UGCAAAAUGUCAAUGUGAUAGUCAACGUGCCUAUAGUUAUGCAAUUUUUCUAGUUCCAUGUUGCUCCUUGGAGGCUUCAUGUUUAGUUUGUUGAGAUCAGUCAAAAGAUUAAAGAAUGUCUUGCUAAGAAGCACUGGGACAAAGUUCAAAAUCCAAGCUAAUCAAGUGUAGCAUCCAUACUAAGCUGUUCCAAUUCAUCAAUAUUUCCAGGAUACUUUUCAUGAACAGACCUCCUCAGGUCUGUAUUUUGACUUUCCAAACACAAACACCAUUCCGUUAUUGAUUUACUCCAGUGUUUCAGAUCAUUGUCUUGUUGCAUCAUCCAACUUCUAUUAAGCUUCAGGUGAUGGACCACUGCACUGACAUUCUCCUGUAAAAUGUUUUGAUACAAUUUUGAAUUCAUUGUUCCCUUAAUGAUUGCAAGCUGUCCAGGCCCUGAGGCAGCAAAUUAGCAAAAUUAGCAGCAAAGGAGCAUAAUGCUCCUUCCACCAUGCUUCACAAUUGGGAUGAGGUUUUGGUGUUGGUGUGCAGUGCCCUUUUUCCUCCACACAUAACAGUGUGCACUUCUGCUAGAAAGUUCAACUUCUGUCUCAUCUGUCUGCAGAAGAUUGUUUCAAAAUCAUUGUGGAACAUCCAGCUGGUCUUUUGCAAACUUGAGGCAUGUAGCAAUGAUUUUUGUUUUGGAGUGCAGCAGUUUUAAUAGUUUAACAGUUCCAUUUAAUAUCAAAAUUGUAUACAAUUGACAUCCUGAAAUUUACUUCCUUCACGGGCAUCCAUGAAAACAGAAGAAUGCCCCAAAAAAUGGAUGACAGUUAUAUCUUAGAACCCCAAAGCCCCCCAGCUCCCCUCUCCCACGCACAAGCAGCAGCCAAGAAAUGACCCCCCCACACCCGCACCCACUUACACAAAAAGCAUCAGCACCUUCCACCCACCAAGUAUGCAGUAAACACCAUGAUAUGCAGUACAACAGAAACUAAUUGUUCACCCAACAAUUUGACCUGCCACAGCCUCUCUCCCUUAAAAAAAAGGGAAAAGGAGGUGUCCCCUUUCACAGUGGGGAGAAGGGGGGGCCAUAAACAAAACAACGCGCUGAUUAUGGUGUUGGAAAUCUGUCGCGUCAUUAUUACCCCGUAGAUUCUGUGGGCUGCGAAUCAGCAACAAUCUCUCAAUAACCAACGAGAGCACAGCUGACAGUUUGCCGUCUCAGACAGCUGAUCUGCUGUUCCUGAUAGAAACAUAGAAAACAGUGCAAUACAGGCCCUUCAGCCCACAAAGCUGUGCCUAACAUGUCCCUACCUUAGAACUACCUAGGCUUUCCCCAUAGCCCUUCUCUAAGCUCCAUGUAGCCAUCCAGGAGUCUCUUAAAAGACUAUCGUUUGAGCCAUGCCCUUGAGAUAUUGAAAGAUGGCCACUGAGAGCAUGUCCCAUUAAUGCAAAGAACUGAAGUCUGAGUGUAACUCCAGGUCAGGAUCUUCAAGAGAACCCUAUCCACCCUGAAAGUAAAAAGAAGAGACAUCAAAGGUAGAAAUUAAGUUGUUUUCAUAGAUGAACAUGAAGGAGUUGCAAUUUUGAGCCAUCAUGACUUCAUCUCCGCCAAUGGGGUUUCCUUCCAUGCACAUUCUUGUUGAGUGUUUCUCUUAUAGUAGACGUGUUAUCAGAAACGUUCGCAAGUUCUGGAGAUUUUUGCAGGUCUUUUCCUGUUACCCUUGGGUUCUUUUUCACUCCUUUCAGUGUUGUACCUCUGCUCUUGGUGUGAUCUUUGCAGGACUCCCACUCCUAGGGAGUGUACUAAAUUUCCUCCAUUUGUAGACUGUUUCUCUUGCUGUGGUCUAAUGAACACUCGGCUCUUUAGAAAUGCUUUUGUAGCCUUUUCCAGCUUCAUGCAUCUCUGUAAUUCUUUUAAAGUUCUUCCUCUGAAAGUUAUUUUGAUCAAAGCAUGGUGCACGUAAACAGAUCUUUCUUGAGAUGAGCAGGCUCUGUCAGUAACCUGAUUUUAGUGUGUCUUUUUUUUUAUAUGGGACAGGGCACCUCUACAACCCACACCUCCAAUCUCAUCUCAUCAAUUGGAACACCUGACACCAAAUAGCUUUUGUAGAAGGCAUUACCCUAGAGAUUCACAUACUUUUUUGAACCCAGACUGUAAUUGUUUAAAUAUUGAUGAGAAGUAGUAGAAUUGAUUGUGUUAUUAGUUCAGGCAGAAUGUGUUUGGCUAUUAUUGUGACUUGGAUGAAGAUCAGACCACAUUUUAACCAUGUAACAAUUACAGCACAGAAAGAGGUAAUCUCGGCCCUUCUAGUCCGUGCCGAACAUUUACUCUCACCUAGUCCCACUGACCUGUACUCAGCCCAUAAUCCUCCAUUCCUUUCCUGUCCAUAUACCUAUCCAAUUUUACUUUAAAUGACAAUAUCGAACCUGCCUCUACCACAUCUACCGGAAGCCCGUUCCACACAGCUACCACUCUCUGAGUAAAGAAGUUUCCCCUUGUGUUACCCCUAAACUUUUGUCCCCUAACUCUCAACUCAUGACCACGUCAACUUUAUCUAACCCCCUCGUAAUUUUAAAUACCUCUAUCGACUCCCCCCCUCAAUGCUCCAAAGAAUAAAGACCUAUCUUGUUCAACCUUUCUCUGCAAUUUAAGUGCUGAAACCCAGGUAACAUUCUAGUAAAUCUUCUCUGUACUCUCUCUAUUUUGUUGACAUCUUUCCUAUAAUUCGGUGACCAGAACUGCACACAAUGCUCCAAAUUCGGCCUUACCAAUGCCUUGCACAACUUUAACAUUACAUCCCAACUCCUAUACUCAAUGCUCUGAUUUAUAAAGGCCAGUAUACCGAAAGCUUUCUUCACCACCCCAUCCACAUGAGAUUCCACCUUCAGGGAACUAUGCACCAUUAUUCCUAGAUCACUCUGUUCUACUGCAUUCUUCAAUGCCCUACCAUUUGCCAUGUAUGUCCUAUUUGGAUUAUUCCUACCAAAAUGUAGCACCUCACACUUAUCAGCAUUAAACUCCAUCUGCCAUCUUUCAGCUCACUCUUCUAACUGGCCUAAAUCUCUCUGCAAGCUUUGAAAACCUACUUCAUUAUCCACAAUGCCAAGUUUCUUAGUAUCAUCUACAUACUUACUAAUCCAGUUCACCACCCCAUCAUCCAGAUCAUUAAUGUAUAUGAUAAACAACAUUGGACCCAGUACAGAUCCCUGAGGUACACCACAAGUCACCGGCCUCCAACCUGACAAACAGUUAUCCACCAGUACUCUCUGGCAUCUCCCAUCCAGCCACUGUUGAAUCCAUUUUACUGCUUCAAUAUUAAUACCUCACGAUUGAACCUUCCUAACUAGCCUUCCAUGCAGAACCUUGUCAAAGGCCUUACUGAAGUCCAUAUAGACAACAUCCACUGCUUUACCCUCGUCAACUUUCCUUGUAACCUCUGCAAAAAGAUUUCAAUAAGAUUUGUCAAACAUGACCUUCCACGCACAAGUCCAUGUUGACUGUCCCUAAUCAGACCCUGCCAAUCCAAAUAAUUAUAUACAGCAUCUCUAAGAUUACUUUGCAUUAAUUUACCCACCACUGACGUCAAACUGACAGGCCUAUAAUUGCUAGGUUUACUCUUAGAACCCUUUUUAAACAAUAGAACAACAUGAGCAGUAGGCCAAUCCUCUAGCACCAUCCCCAUUUCUAAUGACAUUUGAAAUAUUUCUGUCAGAGCCCCUGCUAUUUCUACACUUACUUCCCUCAAGGUCCUAGGGAAUAUCCUGUCAGGACCCAGAGACUUAUCCACUUUCAUAUUCCUUAAAAGUGCCAGUACUUCCUCCUCUUUAAUCAUCGUAGUUUCCAUAACUUUCUUACUUGUUUCCCUUACCUUACACAAUUCAAUAUCCUUAGUGAAUACCGAAGAAAAGAAAUUGUUCAAAAUCUCCCCCACCUCUUUUGGCUCCACACAUAGCUGUCCACUCUGAUUCUCUAAGGGACCAAUUUUAUCCCUCACUAUCCUUUUUGCUAUUAAUAUAACUGUAGAAACCCUCUGGAUUUAUUUUUGCCUUACUUGCCAAAGCAACCUCAUAUCUUUUAGCUUUUCUAAUUUCUUUCUUAAGAUUCUUUUUACAUUCUUUAUAUUCCUCGAGCACCUCAUUUACUCCAUGCUGCCUAUAUUUAUUGUAGAUAUCUCUCUUUUUCCAAACCAAGUUUCCAAUAUCCUUUGAAAACCAUGGCUCUCUCAAACUUUUAACCUUUCCUUUCAACCUAACAGGAACAUAAAGAUUCUGUACCCUCAAAAUUUCACCUGUAAAUGACCUCCAUUUCUCUAUUACAUCCCUCCCACAAAACAAAUUGUCCCAAUCCACUCCUUCUAAAUCCUUUCGCAUCUCCUCAAAGUUAGCCUUUCUCCAAUCAAGAAUCUCAACCCUGCAUCCAGUCCUAUCCUUCUCCAUAAUCAUAUUGAAACUAAUGGCAUUGUGAUCACUGGACCCAAAGUGCUUCCCAGUACAUACCUCCAUCGCCUGACCUAUCUCAUUUCCUAACAGGAGAUCCAACACUGCCCCUUCUCUAGUUGGUACCUCUAUGUAUUGCUGGAAAAAACUAUCCUGCACACAUUUUACAAACUCCAAACCAUCCAGCCUUUUUACAGUAUGGGCUUCCCAGUCUAUGUGUGGAAAAUUAAUAUCUCCCACAAUCACAUCCCUGUGCUUAAAACAAAUAUCUGCUAUCUCCUUACAAAUUCGCUUCUCCAAUUCUCGCUCCCCAUUAGGUGGUCUAUAAUACACCCCUAUAAGUGUUACUGCACCUUUUCCAUUCCUCAAUUCCACCCAAAGAGUCUCCCUAGAUGAGCCCUCUAAUCUAUCCUGCCAGAGAAUCGCUGUAAUAUUUUCUCUGACGAGUAAUGCAACAGCUCCCCCUCUUGUCCCUCCGAUUCUAUCACAUCUGAAGCAACAAAAUCCAGGAAUAUUUAGUUGCCAAUCACACCCCUCCUGCAACCAUGUUUUUAUUUCCAGGUAUCAAUCCAUGCUCUAAGCUCAUCCACCUUUCUUAAAAUGCUCCUAGCAUUAAAAUGAAUGCAUUUAAGAAAUUCUCCACCUCUUACUCUCUGUUUAUCUCUAACUGUGCAAACAAUUUUACUAUCCUAUUUUUUCUUUCUUCUCCCAUACAUCUGUUCCUACACUCUGGUUCCCGUCCCCCCUUGUAUCUAGUUUAAAUCCACUGGAACCUCUCUAGCAAAGCGACCUGCAAGAAUGUUUGUCCCCCUCCAAUUCAGAUGUAAACCAUCCCACCAGAAGCCCUCCUUCCUGCACCAUGUCUUCAGCUACGUGUUGAUCUGCGCUAUCAUACUGUUUCUAAAUCCACCUGCACGUGGCUGUGGUAGCAAUCCUGAGAUUGCUAUCCUGGAGGUCCUGUCCUUUAACUUGGCACCUAGCUCCCUAAACUCACCUUUCAGGACCUCCUCAGUCUUCCUACCCACGUCAUUGGUCCCUACAUGGACCAUGACAUCCGGCUGCUCACCCUCCCUGUUGAGAAUACUGAGAACUUGAUCUGAGAUAUUACGGACCCUGGCACCAGGGAGGCAACAGACCAUCCGGGAUUCUUGAUCUCUUAUACAGAACUUCUUCCUGUCUGUCCCCCUAACUAUCGAAUCCCCUAUCAGUACCUCCUUCCCUUCUGAGCUGAGGGUCCAGUCUCGGUGCCAGAGACACAACCACUGCAACUUGUCCCUGGUAGGUCAUCCCCACCAACAGUAUCCAAAACGGUAUACUUAUUAUUGAUGGGAAUGGCCACAGGGGUUCUCUGUUCAUUCUGUCUAAUCCCCUUUUCUCUCCUGACAGUCACCCAGCGACCUGUCUCCUGACUCUUAGGGGUGAUUAUCUCCCUGUAACUCCUGUUUAUUUCUGCCUUUGCCUCCCGAAUGAUCUGGAGUUCAUCCAGCUCCAGCAAACAAGAACAUGCUGUUCUUGUUAGGGUUGCCUGUGUCUUAUCAGAAAAAGAAAAUUACUCAAACUAGGCAUAAUGUCAAUUCAAAAGUGGAGCAGUUGAUCAAACCUUUAUAUAAGGGUGGUCAGUGACUGCAUUAACAAUUUAGUAACUCAUCAGAAGUGGGAGUCAAUACCAAAGCUUUAGGAGUAACGCAGUAGAUGUUAAAAGCUAUAAUUUGGAACGAUUUUAGUGAAGAGUCGAAGUAAUACAAUUAACAGUAUUAUUUUGUGUUAUUUUGGGGGCUGUAAGGAGGUGAGAAAAGACUGAAGCAUUACCAAUAAAACUGAUGACCUAUUAAGCUGCAAAGAACUGCAUUUGGUAGGAGCCAUUCUAUAGAUGUGGCUGUAAAUAGGAUCUAGUUUCAGCAUAUUUGAGAGAUAGUAAUAAUGGAUUGGAGAUGGUAAUAGUGGAUGGGAUAAGAAUAGCAGAAAGAAAGGAUAUUUGUCUGGAAGCAUGGCAUUUGGGAUAUGGUAGUCUGAGUGGAGGAUUGGGGGAAGCAAGAUUUCAAUAAACAGAAAAUUAAUUAACAGAUGAGAGUAGGUAUAAGUGGUUCAUUUUUGGUUUGGCAGGUUGCAAAUAGUGGUGAACUGCCAGGACCUGUGCCAGGAUCUCAGCUGCAUAACGUUUUUUUUCCAAAAUUACUGAUGGUGCAACAAUAACUAUAAAGAUAGUUGAUGAGGCUGCAUUGGAAUUUUCACAGGUAGGUGGCAGAUGGAAUAUAAUACAGGGAGAACAGACUUCACUUUUACAAACUAUGGAGACAUAGAACUUGAAAAAUUGGGUAACACUGGUGUUCAGAUGCCCCUCGAGUGCUCUUGUACAUACAUCAAUGUGUUAAUGUCAGUAUGUUGGUAUGGUAAGUAAUUAGAGUGAGGUAAACGUUAUGAGAAGUCUGGAAUUUAAAAAUAUGUUUUACUUGUAUUUAUAUAGGACUUUGGUCUGCUUAGGUCCUUUUGCCCAGAAAAGGAUAUUCUUUCUUUUACGCAAGUGUAGCAAAGGUUAAAAUGAGCCUGUAAAAACUCAAAGGAUUACAGGCCAAUCAAUCAAUCUGUGAAAUUUUAUCCUAUAAAUUUUGUUGCUAUUUUCAUGAUAUUUUUGAGAAUAAUUUGAGAAGGCGAAGCUAUAGUUGGACAUAUCAAUAUUACAGUGGAGUAAAGGGAAUUACAGAGGCAUGAGGGAGGAGCUGGCCAGAAUUGAUUGAUGCUCUGCCGUCAUCCCUGCCAGUAGAAUUUUCCAAUGGUUGGAAUACCUGGGAGUAAUAUGGAAGGCACAGGAUAUAUACAUCCCAAAGAGGAAGAAAUGUUCUAAAGGCAGGAUGACACAACCGUGUCUGACAAGGGAAGUCAAAGCCAACAUAAAAGCCAAAGAGAGGGCAUAUAAUAGAGCAAAAUUAGUGGGAAGUCAGAGGAUUGGGAAGCUUUUAAAAACCAAUAGAAGACAAUUUUUUAAAAGUCAUAAAGAAGGAAAAGAUUGAAUAUAAAAUUAAGAUGGCCAAUAAUAUGAAAGAGGAUACCAAAAACUACUUCAGGUCCGUGAAGUGUAAAAGAGAGGUGAGAAUAGAUAUCGCACCACUGGAAAACAAUGCUGGAGAGGUAGUAAUGAUGGGCAAGGAAAUGGUGGAUGAACUGAAUAACUAUUUUGCAUCGGUGUUCGCUGUGGAGAUACUAGCAGUGUGCUGGAUGUUCGAAAGUGUCAGGAUUACACCCUACCCUCGUUAUAUGCGGGGGAUUCGUUCCUCGCAGUUGACGCAUAGUAUGGAAAAGGAAUAAUGUGAACAAUUGUUUAAAUGGAGAAAAUAGGGAUGCGUUCUGAAGGGCUUCCUAAAUAAACUUUAUCUGUAACUUAUUCACAUUUUCAUACCAAUUUGACACAAAAGCAGUACCACAGGGCAACAUUUGUAUUUCAUCAAUUUAAGCUAAUAUUCAACGUAAUAGAUCAUAGAAAGUUAAUGCAGUCCUUUCAUCCUUUUUGUUUCGGCAUGUGCUUCCAAAAAAGCCCAGUCUCGUCUGCAUUAAACACCUGCUUUGGUAUGAUGCCUAACUCAGCUUUUGGGCCAUUGAAGACAGAAACUGGUGAAUUUAUUAUGGGGAACAAGGAAAUGGCAGAUGAGUUGAACAGGUACUUUGGAUCUGUCUUCACUAGGGAAGACACAAACAAUCUCCCAGAUGUAAUAGUGGCCAAAGGAACUAGGGUAAAGGAUGAACUGAAGGAAAUUUAUAUUAGGCAAGAAACGGUGUUGGAUAGACUGUUGAGUCUGAAGGCUUAUAAGUCCCCGGGACCUGAUGGCCUGCAUCCCAGGGUACUUAAAGAGGUGGCUCUAGAAAUCGUGGACGCAUUGGUAAUCAUUUUCCAAUGUUCUAUAGAUUCAAGAACAGUUCCUGCUGAUUGGAGGGUGGCUAAUGUUGUCCCACUUUUCUAGAAAGGACGGAGAGAGAAAACAAGGAAUUAUAGACUGGUUAGCCUGACGUCAGUGGUGGGAAAGAUGCUGGAAUCAAUUAUAAAAGAGGAAAUUACGACACAUUUGGAUAGCAGUCGAAGGAUCAGUCUGAGUCAGCAUGGAUUUAUGAAGGGAAAAUCAUGCUUGACUAAUCUUCUGGAGUUUUUUGAGGAUGUAACUAUGAAAAUGGACAACGGAGAGCCAGUGGAUGUAGUGUACCUGGACUUCCAGAAAGCUUUUGAUAAAGUCCCACAUAGGAGAUUAGUGGGCAAAAUUAGGGCACAUGGUAUUGGGGGCAGAGUACUGACAUGGAUUGAAAAUUGGCUGGCUGACAGGAAACAAAGUGUAGUGAUUAACGGGUCCCUUUUGGAAUGGCAGGCUGUGACCAGUGGGGUACCGCAAGGUUUGGUGCUGGGACCACAGCUGUUUACAAUAUACAUUAAUAAUUUAGAUGAAGGGAUUAAAAGUAACAUUAGCAAAUUUGCUGAUAACACAAAGCUGAGUGGCAGUGUGAAAUGUCAGAAGGAUGUUAUGAGAAUGCAGGGUGACUUGGACAGGUUGGGUGAGUGGGCAAAUGUAUGGCAGAUGCAGUUUAAUGUGGAUAAAUGUGAGGUUAUCCACUUUGGUGGCAAGAUCAGGAAGGCAGAUUACUAUCUAAAUGGAGUCAAGUUAGGAAAAGGGGAAGUACAACGAGAUCUAGGUGUUCUUGUACAUCAGUCAAUGAAAGCAAGCAUGCAGGUACAGCAGGCAGUGAAGAAAGCUAAUGGCAUGCUGGCUUUUAUAACAAGAGGAAUUGAGUAUAGGAGUAAAGAGGUCCUUCUGCAGCUGUACAGGGCCCUGGUGAGACCCCACCUGGAGUAUUGUGUGCAGUUUUGGUCUCCAAAUUUGAGGAAGAACAUUCUUGCUAUUGAGGGAGUGCAGCAUAGGUUCACACGGUUAAUUCCCGGGAUGGCGGGACUGUCAUAUGUUGAAAGAUUGGAGCGACUGGGCUUGUAUACACUGGAAUUUAGAAGGAUGAGAGGGGAUCUGAUUGAAACAUAUAAGAUUAUUAAGGGAUUGGACACACUGGAGGCAGGAAGCAUGUUCCCACUGAUGGGUGAGUCCAGAACUAGAGGCCACAGUUUAAGAAUAAGGGGUAGGCCAUUUAGAACAGAAGUUCGGAAAAACUUUUUCACCCAGAGAGUGGUGGAUAUGUGGAAUGCUCUGCCCCAGAAGGCAGUGGAGACCAAGUCUCUGGAUGCAUUCGAGAGAGUUGGGGAGAGGGCAGGAACAGGGUACUGAUUGUGUAUGCAGCCAUGAUCACAGUGAAUGGCGGUGCUGGCUAGAAGGACCGAAUGGCCUACUCCUGCACCUACUGUCUAUUGUCAGCUAUCAUAGCCUGCAACAGCAAAGGGCAGCGUUCAGCAGCUUCGUGGUCGGCACUAGCUUGCUCACCCCACACAGCUAAGUUGUGAAGCCUGUGACAAUUAACAAACUUGGCAAACCAUCUCCUACUUGCAUUAAAGCUAACAAUAUCACGACGCUUCCUUGCUAGCCUCUGAACAAAGGCAACCAUAAAUUUCCAAAGCUUUCACACGAAGAUGAUCGGAACUGAGUGUUGAUUUUUCUUUGUUUCAUGCUCAAUGUACAAACUCAACAUUUUCUCCAUUUUUUUCAUAAUCGGGUUACGCAAUUUGGUAACAAUCUUUGAAGACACUUGUGAUGAAUCAAUCACUGCACUUUUUAUUUUCUCAGCAUUUUUCUUUGUUUCUGAUCGUGGACUCACCCAGGCCGAGGUAACGUUCCAGAGCUGUGUUACCUUCACCUGACGCAGCCCUGUUUACAAUUUCCAACUUUUUUUCAAAUGUUAAAGCAGUUCUCUGCCGCUUGGCUGAUGGCCCAGGACUUGACAUAGGACGAUUAGGAGACAUAGUUAAAUAUUUCAAGCACAAGAUCAGUGAACCGCAGGUAAUAACAACGAAAGUUUAACAGCGCAAGAUAGCAAAUCCACAUGCUGCCAAAACCCUUGCGAGACUGGCAGGAGUGAGGCUGAGGCGUGCGCAAGUGACUUGUAUUGGUGGGAAGGCGGUGCUUCUCAUCCCAGCAGCCUCGCAUAACUGUAGUUUUGGACGCAUAUAAGGAGAAGUUGGUAGAAAUAGGUUUGGCACAUAACUGAAUCCACAUUGUCUGAAGACACAUAUAACGAGGAUAGGGUUUAACGAGGAGAAGGUUCUUCAGAAACUGAAAGGUCUGAAGAUCCUGAGGCUGCAAGAACAGCAAACACCAAGAUCACCACCACGCUUGGCCUGGUGGUUCAUGCAGCAGCGGAUGGCAUUGCGUUGGGUGCAGCAGCUUCUACGUCACAGACGAGUGUACAGUUGAUUGUAU